GACGAACGCUGGCGGCGUGCUUAACACAUGCAAGUCGAACGGAAAGGCCCUUCGGGGUACUCGAGUGGCGAACGGGUGAGUAACACGUGGGUGAUCUGCCCUGCACUCUGGGAUAAGCCUGGGAAACUGGGUCUAAUACCGGAUAGGACCACACACUUCAUGGUGAAUGGUGCAAAGCUUUUGCGGUGUGGGAUGAGCCCGCGGCCUAUCAGCUUGUUGGUGGGGUAAUGGCCCACCAAGGCGACGACGGGUAGCCGGCCUGAGAGGGUGACCGGCCACACUGGGACUGAGAUACGGCCCAGACUCCUACGGGAGGCAGCAGUGGGGAAUAUUGCACAAUGGGCGCAAGCCUGAUGCAGCGACGCCGCGUGAGGGAUGACGGCCUUCGGGUUGUAAACCUCUUUCAGUAGGGACGAAGCGAAAGUGACGGUACCUACAGAAGAAGGACCGGCCAACUACGUGCCAGCCGCCGCUGUAACAC
rnacentral:rRNA from 1 species